CGAGACCGACGAAAAAUCGGGCGCUGAUACAUAAUACGUGCAACUUGGCAAAUACAUAUUUGACGCGCAGCUGCUGCGAUCAUCGUACUCCGUCAUAUCUCCCUUUUGCGGUAGAGAAAAGGAAUAGGCAGCUUGAGUGAGUUAAACUUUGUCCAUCUAUUGCACCAUAGGCGUGUGGACAGGACCCGUGAGGGAGAAAAAAUCGGAAACGUAGGCUGACGUGCAAUUCAUCUUGAUCGAUUCUUGAGGUAAUUGUGUCAUGUGAUCCGGUAAAGAAAUUACCAUAUAUCAAUAUCAGUCAUUAAGAACUGUCUUAAGCAACUCAUAGGUGAACGCACACAGCAGGUCAUUGGUUACCGGCAUUUUGCUGUAACUCCCCUGUUAAUCUUUGGCUUCUCCCGUAUGAAUAAUAGGGCGUUGGUAAACAAUCACUGCAUAUCCCAUCCAAGGCAUAUGUCUACCUAUACACAUUGCAGAUUGAAGUAACAGUUGUGUAACAGUGUCGAUGUGAUUCAUGCAGUACAUUUGUCUGAAUAUUUCGUAUUUAAAACAAGCAUGUCACUUAAUUUUAAACAAACUAUUUUUUCUGCCAGAAAUGUCUUUGACUACAGAGAAGCAUUGUAGAUCAUACCCUAGACUAAGCCAGUGCAUUGUUUUCACCAUUAUUAUUCGCAAUUUUAAGUUGCAUACUAAUAUAUUGUAUUCAAUUGCACAAGAAAAGCUGAAGUCAACUUUCGAAAACGCCAAGGCAUUUCAAGAACUAUAUUCCUGACAUAUAUAGGCCCGGUUUUUCAAGUAUAUUUUAAUGUUUCUUUGGUAUCAGGGUGCCAUAACGCAUGAAAGAAAGAGCCGAGAAAAAGGAUCAACAAAAUUGAGGAAGAAUAAAGUAGCCAAGAGGAAUAAAGUAGCCAAGAGGAAGUCAAAACCUCUCUCAAGAAUUUAAAGACUUUUUGGAUUGGAUAGAACAUCAGGGGAAAGUCAUUUUUGAAAUGUGGAACUUUCUGUGCAUAUUAGGGUUUUAGCUGAGGAAUUCUACACAUACACACACAUACACACACACACACACACACACACACACACACACACACAUGCAAAGAAUUGAGCAAAAUAAUAGAUUUACUACUUUACCCAUGUGCUACUUUAGUGCACGUUUGUUUUGUCCAAAUCCAAAGACAAAUAUUCAAACUUUAUCCCAGGAAUAACAGGUCAAUUAAAAUGUUGAAGGCCGGCAUUGAUGGAGACAUUUAGAUAUCCACACUGCCAAGUCCAAAACAACUCUUCUGGCUUUGAACGUCUGCUGUCUGAGACGAUGUGCACCCAGACAUCACCAAUACCCGUCAGCAGUCAAAUCAUUUUAUUGCACAGACAAAAGGAUGCGUUCUAGUUUAAGUGUAUCCAAGACACUUUACCAUGAAACGCGCACAGAGCCACAUUGUUGCCAUUGCAUUAUCCAGCGGAAUCUUACGAUAUUCUGUUCUGAUGAUAAAGAAUAUAUGUAUACAUGUAAAUUGCAUUUGUACAUGCAUUCAAGGCUAAAACGCCAUGUGCGUAAUACGUGUUUAUCAAUAAAUGUAAGGUAUUAACUGCUAAAUUGAUUUGGUUUAGCCUACAUUUGGGAACGAUGUAGACAUUUGAAUCCACAUUUGCACCUUGGAAACAGUGAGGCCUUCUCUAAUGGUCUGCGGUUUAACCAUAAGUAUCUGGAGCGCAUGAACAGGCAGUGUCUGGCGGUGUUUUCUUAAAGGAGCUUGAAAGAUGGAAAAACAACCUCAACCCCAUUUGGCGAUCCACAGGCUUUUCGACUGGUCAGAUCUGAAGAGGGGCGUCUCGGGAACAUUGUUAGAAUUAUUCCAUGGAUGCACCAUUUUUAGUUGCAAAUAGUUUCCAAUGGUAAUGUUAACUUGAUUAAUAUCUUAGUUAUUCCAAAAGCAAGGAAGUAGGUCAUCAUAGUUUCUUAUUAAAUUGUUGUGUAAUUUCCAAAUAAAGCAGUAUUGUAGGCAAAUAGCUGUUA